rnacentral:rRNA from 1 species
GGUGAACGCUGGCGGUAGGCCUAACACAUGCAAGUCGAACGGCAGCACAGUAAGAGCUUGCUCUUACGGGUGGCGAGUGGCGGACGGGUGAGGAAUACAUCGGAAUCUACUUUUUCGUGGGGGAUAACGUAGGGAAACUUACGCUAAUACCGCAUACGACCUACGGGUGAAAGCAGGGGAUCUUCGGACCUUGCGCGAUUGAAUGAGCCGAUGCCGGAUUAGCUAGUUGGCGGGGUAAAGGCCCACCAAGGCGACGAUCCGUAGCUGGUCUGAGAGGAUGAUCAGCCACACCGGAACUGAGACACGGUCCAGACUCCUACGGGAGGCAGCAGUGGGGAAUAUUGGACAAUGGGCGCAAGCCUGAUCCAGCCAUACCGCGUGGGUGAAGAAGGCCUUCGGGUUGUAAAGCCCUUUUGUUGGGAAAGAAAAGCAGCAGGUUAAUACCCCGCUGUUCUGACGGUACCCAAAGAAUAAGCACCGGCUAACUUCGUG